rnacentral:lncRNA from 1 species
UGGGGUUACUGGAGUUCCAGUAGACUACGUGGCGGAGGCUGGAGCCCCCGCGCAGAGGGGAGCCGAGGAACGCGGCCCAGAGGACAGUCCGCAGCAGGGGCAGCAGCCGCAUCGCCCCCGAGGUCCGGUUUGGUCUGGCCUGGCAGGUCCCGGCCCGCUUCACAGUCGAGGAGAGAAAGGUGAGAAAACUGAUGCUUGGAGAUGUGAUCACUGCCCAGGGUCACCCAAUGAUAACAUGCAUGCAUAUGGAACUUGCUGCAUGCCAGCACCAUGUUCUCCUCAUCUAUCCCCAAACAUGGGCUUCCUUGAGGCACAGUCAUUCAACCAACCAGCCAGCAUUCAUUGAGCACCAUCUAUGUCCUGGGCACUGCUAGGGGAUGGUGAUAACAGGGAGAAGACUCUGUCCCUGCCUUCCAAUUGUGUAGAGGAAGACAUCCCCCUACAUGAUGGGUGAGACAUAGCAGAAGUGAGUAGGGGAUGAGGUGGGGGCUCAGAGGAGGGCAUGGUCAGCCUGUCUGGGAGGGAGUUGCAUGUGUGCAUCUGAGGUAGGGACAGGCAUGCAUCUUACAGGAUGAAUAUCGAGCAGAGUUACAGAGAGGGGGAAACUCCUUGAGGUUUCAGGAAUCACCUAAUCCACUGUGACUCACAAAUUCCUGCCUCUUGGCUUUGCCUGCAGCAUAUCUCCUGGAAGUGUGCUGGGGCAAAACUCAUCCCAGACCACCAUCUCCAUCCUCCCCCAAUACACCCUGGCUCUCCCUGGCUACCCUUGAGCACGGUGCACGUGUGCAUGGGUGCAUGCCUGCAUAUAUAGCUAUCCCCCAUGUAUUUCCCAAAGCCCUACAUAAUGCUUCAGUUUGCUAAGGAAAAAAUGUUAAUUACUGCAAAUGUGUUUAAAACUGUAAAAGUACAUUAAACAAACUCUGUAAAGUGUGAA